UUGAUAGAACAACAAAGAGGAUAAAAGUGAAACCAAAAAGGGAAAAAUCAAAGAACUAAAACAAGCAUGGUGAAGCAGUAAGGGUAUGUUUCAGUUUCCAGGAAAAAAUAUUCCACUCAAAAUGCAGCCAUCCAUCCCAAAGGAAGUCAAGAACCAUGAUUAGAACUACAGGUACACGGUCAACUUAAGGACGUCACUACAGAGCACUAAAUGCAAUUCGUGCUUUAGGAUCUUAACAUUAUAGCAUCCAGAAUAACACUAAAUUAAGGCCUCCUACUCUUAGAGUAUGCAAACAUAAGUUUUGUACACAUAAUGCAGCCACAAGCUCUUCUUGAAUCUUACAAUGACAUUCAGAAAGUAGAAUCCUUGUAUAGUACAAGCAUCUAACAAAUAUCUGAGGUAAUGCACCAAUGCUAUCAGAAAUUGAUUUUAAAUUGGAAAGAGUUUGCAGAAGCUCAUGUUAAGGACAACGAAAUUUAACAUCAUUUUAGUCUCCCUGAAAGAAUAUUAUACCUUUUGCCAGUUGGUGAAGACUCUUAGCCUCCCAAAUCAAGCCAAAAUAGGCUAAUGCAAUCUCAACAAAGAAUCAGCAAAAUUUUCUGGACUCUCAUUUGUGAACCUCUAGAACUUGUUGCACAUAGCAAUUACUUAUUUUCCUUGAACUACAUGUCAGGGCCAUGAAUUAAAGAGCUCAAAACAGCAGAAAAGGCUAGGAAGCCUCAUAGAAAAAGCAAUUUUAUUACAAACAACAUAUAAGUAAGCCUAAAAGCUUGGGGUGUAAAUGAUGUUUAUUUACGUAACAAAACAAAAUCAGAUAAUAUAAAAUAGAGGGGAGUUUAAAGUGAUUUUGAUACUAUAUGGGCAAUAAUCCAAAACAUUGGCUGUUUGCAUGUCAGCCUCUAAAUAUCAUGGUGUAAGUUGAUACACAUGGUGAGUGCACUUCCUAACCAUCCUAAACCAAUCCAGUCUCGUUUUCAAAUUCUGCUAGAACCUCUAAUGUAGGACAGGCGGGGAAGGAAAGAAAAUUGAAAAUUAAAAGAUAGGCUCCUGUAUCACACUAAAACAAUUUUAGAAAUCACUCCUAAAAUCCCUAGGCAUCACACCUAAGUUUGAUUUGCAUCAUACAAAACCAGAGAAAUAACUCACAGAAAAAUACUUGUAUUAUUAAUCAACUUUUCUAACAGAGUUACAAAGGCCCCUACUUAUAAUAAAACCACCUAACAAUGUUAGGAAACUAAAAUAAAAAGAAACCUAGUUAGAUAAGGAAACCAAAUAAUAUAACUUAAAAGGAAACUAAAAUAAUAAUAACUCUAAUUAAAUUAGAAAACUAAAUUAAACUAAAGCUACUAGGAUACUUGAAGGUCCCAAAUAAGCCCAUCUUGCCCUAGAUCAUGCCAAAUUAAAGAUUGGGCUUUAGAAUCUAGUUUUCCCGUCUUCUUUGAUAAGCUUUGAAAGGUUGUUUCCAUGUUGCAUCACCCUCAUUUUUAUUAAUUUAUUCUGCUAUACGUGCAAGUACCAUAACAUAUGACAGCAACCAUCCAGAACCUAAAAGAGAGCACAUAUGCAGACAUAUAAUUGUACUUCGAACCCCAUCACUCCAUAAUGAUAAUUCCUCAUGCUACCAAUGCAUCCUCACAUGUUAGUUAAACCUAACAUAAAAUAGCACUGUAAGAGGUUCAAUGAAGGAAGAUGCAAUUGGCCUCGAUACAUCAUAUACAAAGCUGGAAUAUAAAGGGCCAUACAUUAAAGGUACAGUACAACAUCCUAGAUAACAUAAAUGCCAAAAACCAUCAAUGAUACUAAUUUCAUUCAGAAUAGUAUCCACACAAAUCACAACUAGAAUUCUACUGAAAGCCAAAAACAUAAAUUCUACUUUUCAGUAUAUAACUAGACUGAAUGAUUUUAUAAUUGUUCUUUCCAAAAUUACCCCUCCCAAUUACAAAACAAAAACAUUCUUUGACUUGAACUCUUCAAUAAAAAGAGACGCUGCAAUUAAAAAAAUUGUUAAAAGUUUCAGCGGAAGAAUAAUUUAAGUGAAACCCAUCAUUGAUUGGGAAAGAAAAGGAACAUAAAUCUGAAAAGCUAGAUAAGAAUUUGAUGUGAUCGCUCCCUCCCCUUCAAUGAUAGCAGUGCCAUAACAGCUGCCUAUAUCACCUUCAAAGAUAUCAUCUCUCCCUCCCCUCAAACAACCAAGAAGAUGUGAAUCAAACCAUUAUAUCUCAUUCAAACCAUUAGUCAUAAAUCAUAAAUCCACUAGCCCAUAAGAGCCCUGCCGUUACCACAAUUCAUGUUAUUGUUACAAUUAUAAGUUACAGAUCCAGUUGAUCUUGAAAACAAGGAAAAUUAGAGAGAGAGAGAGAGAGAGGGACGAAGGGACAGAGGGAGACAAAGAGGCAUGAGAUAUCUAAUAAUCACCAAGACCAGGAAGGAAAAGUCACUUUUUGGAUUAUUGAGCAUCAAUGCAGCAUAAGCUGAGGUCACAGAAAUCCUAUCAAAUUUGAGAAUGGUAUAAGAUUUAGCUUUCAGCCAUCAGCUGAAUAAAUUUUUACAGGUAAAAUGGUUACAGACAAGAAAAUCUAUAGAACUCAACUUCAAUUUUUUGAAUUCUUAUUUUAUGUUUCCAAACACAAUUUUAUGCCCAAUUAAAUAUUGUGAAAGUAACGCCAUGAAAGAAGCAAGUUAAACCAAAACUAGUGCUAACAAGUGGAUUUUUAGUAAAUUCAGUGUGUAACAGUUACAGAAAUGUAAACAAAGCAUAUAAAACAUCUGGAAUCAUCUGAAGGGAAACUGAUUAGUAAUAUGUAUAUCCCAUUCCAUGAGUUAUUGAACUCUUAUUUUAUGUUUCUAAACAAAAUUUUAUGCCCAAUUAAAUAUUGUGAAAGUAAUGCCAUGAAAGAAGCAAGUUAAACCAAAACUAGUGCUAACAAGUGGAUUUUUAGUAAAUUCAGUGUGUAACAGUUACAGAAAUGUAAACAAAGCAUAUAAAACAUCCGGAAUCAACUGAAGGGAAACUGAUUAGUAAUAUGUAUAUCCCAUUGCAUGAGUUACAGAUAACUGAUAUAAUUAGCACACAUAACCACUAAACCCAAUUCUAUUUUGUCUGUCAGCUGCUUCUGCCUCUCUAAUAAUCUGAGCGAGCCAGAUCUCUUAGCUUGCUUCCUUUCUAAUUUUCUCAUGCCUCCAUGACUUUCACAGCCUCAAAUUUCAACCCUCCAUGUGCAUUCACAUUUCACACAAAGAAAACAAAAAAUAUCCAUACAUAGCAAGAUACAUAGAAUCUUUGUCAGCAAAUCUGACAGUCUUGAUCAUUUCCAUCUUCAGCUCCCUCAUAAAUCUUGCUCUCUGCACUCUUUAAAUUUUAUGUUAGAUUUUUAUUUCAAUUUGGUUGCUGAUUUAGCAUCUUAAAUUUGUGUUCUCAUUACUUCCCUUGGCUUUUCUCCAUUAUAGUUAUUGCGCUGUAUCAUAGAACAAACAGAAUAAACUAUCAAAAUUCUAACCAAUACUUCCUGUAUUGGAUUUUCACAUCUGAAUCAAUUCAGAUUGGAACUACAACUUUUAAUGCGAUCAUCACCACCACCAGUUAGGAUGGAACAAAUCUCAAAUACAGCAGUUUCGUACCAAUGCACAAUCCUAGGUGAAAAUUUAAUCAUCAUAAUUUCUCAACAUCAGCCUUCGAUGUUUCCAAACUACAAAGUCUUAAACUUAAAAGAAACUAUAAAAUCACAACAAAUUAAAGCCCAAAAAUUGUCUUAAAAGAGAUAGAUAUUCAUAAAUGGAUAAAUUCCCUGUUGGCCACUGAGCAGGAAGGUAAAAAGUAAUCAAUGAGAGGUAAAAUUACAACAGCUCGAAAAGAGGGAUAUUCAUAAAUACAUAAGCUCCCUUUUCCUGCCCCACUGGCAAUGAGUGCUUGAUCAAAUACUGAAUAAGAAAAACCAAAGACAACCCAAAAAAUACAAAAGCAUUCCCACAAUUAAAACGAUAGAUAAAUAUAAAUUCCAGUGCAAAUGACACCAUUGAAGCCCGAUUAGCUUUCAUAACAAUGCCUAAUCUAUAUAUAUAAGAACCAAAACAUGAGCAUCCCACUUGGCAGAGAUUAACAAAAUCAAACAACAACAGAAACCAAUUUCUC